rnacentral:tRNA from 1 species
GUCUUGUUAGCUCAGUUGGUUGAGCAACUGACUCUUAAUCAGUGGGUCUAGGGUUCGAUUCCCUAACAGGACACCA